AUUCCGGUUGAUCCUGCCGGAGGCCAUUGCUAUCGGAGUCCGAUUUAGCCAUGCUAGUCGUGCGAGUUCAGACUCGCGGCACCGAGCUCAGUAACACGUGGCCAAACUACCCUACAGAGACGGAUACCCUCGGGAAACUGAGGUUAACCCGUCAUACCGAUCUCAGGCUUGAAUCGCAGAGAUCACAAAACGCCCCGGCGCUGUAGGAUGUGGCUGCGGUUGAUUAGGUAGACGGUGGGGUAACGGCCCACCGUGCCCAUAAUCAGUACAGGUUGUGAGAGCAAGAACCUGGAGACGGAAUCUGAGACAAGAUUCCGGGCCCUACGGGGCGCAGCAGGCGCGAAACCUUUACACUGCACGCACGUGCGAUAAGGGGACUCCGAGUGCGAGGGCAUAUCGUCCUCGCUUUCGUGUACCGUAGGGUGGUACACCAACAAGGGCUGGGCAAGACCGGUGCCAGCCGCCGCGGUAAUACCGGCAGCCCGAGUGAUGGCCGAUCUUAUUGGGCCUAAAGCGUCCGUAGUU
rnacentral:rRNA from 1 species